rnacentral:lncRNA from 10 species
AUUGCAAGCCCCCACCUAUGUUGGUUAAUUCUGCUUCACAUGGAAGAGACAGCCAUUGGGCCAGCCCUGAACAAAGAUCCCUGUCACCAAGAUCCACUGCUCCUGCUGUGGUCAGGCAAAGAGAAGGUUAUGUCUCCUGAGUUCUAGUUCUCCGUCCUGAAGUCCAUGUAAUGUGAGUUACAAGCCGUCUGCAGAGUUACCCAAGCUCCAUGAAACAAUCAUAAAGGAACAAAAGGACAAAGUAAUUGGGGGAAUAUAACAACAAUGAACACAGGGCUAGAGUGUGUAAUCCUGUUGCUGUCGUUAAUCCUGUUGCAGUUCACUCUUAUCCAAUUCUGUAUGCUCCUUAGAUCCAGAAACAGGCAUGUUAUGUCCUUGUGCAUCUGCUCUGCCCAGCUAGAUGUUGUCAUCCCUACCCAAGAAGAAUGCAUUAGAUCCAGUAAAAGCUUCAUGUUCAGUCUCAGUUGCAAAGAGCAGAGCAUUUCAAAGUAGGGGUCAUGAAGCCUGCUCCAUGGGCUUUACUGAUUGUCUGCAGGAAACCGCUCUCAUCUUAACCUCUGUGUCCUUGAAUCAAAAGACAUUUUUGCUGGUCACACAGGACAACGUUUUCUUAAUAUUCCUCAAAUUUCCCUACCAAAUCUUAAAAGUAUGAUUCUCCUCUGAGAGUUAAAGUAGCAAAACCUGUAUAUGACGCACAUGAUUCUUCAUUUUUUAGAAGAAACCAGAAAGACAUUUUGUAAAUGGACAGCUGAGUGAUAUGGGGCUAGUAAUGGAAGGGAGGCUUUGGAAGGGCUGGCCUUGAAUGUGAUUAACUUAACAGUAAAACCUGAUGAAAUCAAUCAGUUCCUUCCUGAAGAGACCACAGCAUGGUGCUGAAGAGCGUGAUCUCAGGAAUACAGAACUGGAUUUAAAUCCCUGCCUCAGAUGACUUUGUGAACCACGUAUCCUCUAUGGAAAUCAGUUUCUUCAUCAUUGAAAUGGAGAUAACUGGUAAGUCAUUGGAGUUGUGUGCUGAUUAAUGAGGUAAUGUCUGCAGUGGUUAGUAUAGUAUGUGGCACAUUUAACAAGUGGGUCUUCAUGAAGCUGAAACAAGGAUACCAAAGGACCAAAACUGGUCAUCGUUCAUCUCACACACCCAGAGGACACAGAGUCUGAGUGUGAAGGAAAUGAGCAUUCAGGCCCCUGGGGAGUUGAACUCAUGUGGGACAGGUGUAGUACAUCAGGAUUUCCUGUGGCCUCUAGGAGCCACCCUUCA